rnacentral:rRNA from 1 species
AGGGAUUGCCUUAGUAACGGCGAGUGAAGCGGCAACAGCUCAAAUUUGAAAGCUGGCCCUUUCAGGGUCCGCGUUGUAAUUUGUAGAGGAUGAUUCGGCGAGGGCUCCCGCCUAAGUCCCCUGGAACGGGGCGUCAUAGAGGGUGAGAAUCCCGUAUGCGGUGGGCUGCCUUAGCCAUGUGAAUCUCCUUCGACGAGUCGAGUUGUUUGGGAAUGCAGCUCUAAAUGGGAGGUAAAUUUCUUCUAAAGCUAAAUACCGGCCAGAGACCGAUAGCGCACAAGUAGAGUGAUCGAAAGAUGAAAAGCACUUUGGAAAGAGAGUUAAAAAGUACGUGAAAUUGUUUAAAGGGAAGCGCUUGCAACCAGCCUUGUCCGCAGUUGCUCAGCCGGUCUCCUGACCGGCGUACUCUUCUGCGGCCAGGCCAGCAUCAGUUCGGGCGGUCGGAUAAAGCCCUCGGGAAUGUAGCUCCUCUCGGGGAGUGUUAUAGCCCGGGGUGGAAUGCGGCCAGCCUGGACUGAGGAUCUCGCUUCGGCAAGGAUGCUGGCGUAAUGGUUGUAAGCGGCCCGUCUUGAAACACGGACCAAGGAGUCUAACAUCUAUGCGAGUGUUUGGGUGUCAAACCCAUACGCGUAAUGAAAGUGAACGGAGGUGGGAACCCGCAAGGGUGCACCAUCGGCCGAUCCUGAUGUCUUCGGAUGGAUUUGAGCAAGAGCAUAGCUGUUGGGACCCGAAAGAUGGUGAACUAUGCCUGAAUAGGGUGAAGCCAGAGGAAACUCUGGUGGAGGCUCGCAGCGGUUCUGACGUGCAAAUCGAUCGUCAAAUUUGGGUAUA